GACAGAGGGUGCAAACGUUGUUCGGAAUUACUGGGCGUAAAGCGCGUGUAGGCAGCUCGGAAAGUCGGAUGUGAAAGCCCUGGGCUCAACCUAGGAAGUGCAUUCGAAACUUCCGAGCUGGAGUGCUGGAGAGGAAGGCGGAAUUCUCGGUGUAGAGGUGAAAUUCGUAGAUAUCGAGAGGAACACCGGUGGCGAAGGCGGCCUUCUGGACAGUUACUGACGCUGAGACGCGAAAGCUAGGGGAGCGAACAGG
rnacentral:rRNA from 1 species